rfam:Mesorhizobium sp. LC103 LC103_contig6, whole genome shotgun sequence.
UGCCGGUCGUCCAUAGACCGGGGUUACUGAAGAGGCACACCUUCCUUGCCGGCAGUGCGGACAGGGUUUCCCAUCCAAGCCAAGGCAGACAAAGCGGAUCAAGGCCAGGUGCGGCCAUGAUCCAUAACCGCGCGAAGCGUCUUCAUGGUUC